GCGCGUAAAUUGCCCGAAUCCUGACACAGGGAGGUAGUGACAAGAAAUAACAAUACAGGGCUAUCUUAGUCUUGUAAUUGGAAUGAGUACAAUUUACAUCUCUUCACGAGGAUCAAUUGGAGGGCAAGUCUGGUGCCAGCAGCCGCGGUAAUUCCAGCUCCAAUAGCGUAUAUUAAAGUUGUUGCAGUUAAAACGCUCGUAGUCGGAUUUCGGGGCGGGGCCGCCGGUCUGCCGAUGGGUAUGCACUGGCGGUCGCGUCCUUCCUUCCGGAGACUGGCCCUACUCUUAACUGAGCGGGGUCGGGAGACGGAUCGUUUACUUUGAAAAAAUCAGAGUGUUUCAAGCAGGCAGCUCGCUCUUGCAUGGAUUAGCAUGGGAUAAUGAAAUAAGACUUUGGUGCUAUUUUGUUGGUUUCGAACACCGAAGUAAUGAUUAUCAGGGACAGUCAGGGGCACUCGUAUUCC
rnacentral:rRNA from 1 species